AUGUUAUCACACCAGUUAUCGGCACCAACAUUCGACUCGAUGGGUGAGGCGUAUGACUUCUACAAUUUGUACUCGUGGGAGAAGGGAUUUGGCAUUCGUUACAGGAAGAGCAGGCUAAAUGUGGAGAGGACCAAAAGCAUGCAGGAAAUAGUUUGUGGUUGCUCGGGCAAAGCUGGUGUGGGGAACACCAGGUCUUGUCAUUGCGAGUGCCCCGCUCUAAUAAGGUUGCUACGAGUGGAGGAAAACGGAUGGUACAUUGCAGAGCAUAGAGAUAGUCACAACCACUCGUUGUUGCCUAAUUUUGGUGAGACAAUCCAUUGGCCCUCACACAAGCACAUAGAUGUGUACACCAGGAAUCUAGUGAAACAGUUAAGGCAGAACAAUGUGAACUUAGCAAAGGUGUACAACAUCAUUGGAGGCUUCAUUGGAUAA
rnacentral:rRNA from 1 species